rnacentral:other from 1 species
UACCAUAUGUAUCGACACAGGUUUUUGUGUCUUCAUUCACGUUAAAGGUAAGUUUGAUGUCUAAGAUUAAAGGUAGCGUUAAGUGGUUUAAUGAAUCCAAGGGCUUCGGCUUCAUUACUCCGGAAGAUGGUAGCAAGGACGUUUUCGUUCACUUCUCUGCUAUCGCUAGCAACGGUUUCAAAACGCUUGCUGAAGGCCAGCGUGUAGAAUUUGAAAUCACGAACGGUGCCAAGGGCCAUCUGCCGCUAACGUUACUGCUAUCUAAGCUGCGUAGCUGAAUUCUUAAAACCCGCUCAUUGAGCGGGUUUUUUG